CCACACGACUCUCGGCAACGAAUAUCUCGGCUCUCGCAUCGAUGAAGAACGUAGCGAAAUGCGAUACCUGGUGUGAAUUGCAGAAUCCCGCGAACCAUCGAGUCUUUGAACGCAAGUUGCGCCCGAGGCCACUCGGCCGAGGGCACGCCUGCCUGGGCGUCACGC
rnacentral:rRNA from 1 species